GUGCAUAUCAGUAGACCUCACCCUGCUAUGCCCUGGCAUGGUGAGGGGGACAGCAUGUGUCAGAGGUGAUGUGGAGUGACUAUCAGAUGCAGCCAACAGAAUAGAUGGUUUGGCUGAACUGUGGUACUCCCACAUAC
rnacentral:snoRNA from 1 species